GGCUAUCAUGCAGUCGAACGCACUUUCGUUAAUUGAUUUUGAGAUGCUUGCAUCGAAGAUGAUUUUAACUAUAAAGUGAGUGGCGAACGGGUGAGUAACACGUGGGUAACCUGCCCAGAAGUGGGGGAUAACACCUGGAAACAGAUGCUAAUACCGCAUAACAAAAUUAACCGCAUGGUUGAUUUUUAAAAGAUGGCUUCGGCUAUCACUUCUGGAUGGACCCGCGGCGUAUUAGCUAGUUGGUGAGAUAAAGGCUCACCAAGGCAGUGAUACGUAGCCGACCUGAGAGGGUAAUCGGCCACAUUGGGACUGAGACACGGCCCAGACUCCUACGGGAGGGCAGCAGUAA
rnacentral:rRNA from 1 species